rnacentral:misc_RNA from 1 species
GAUGAAGAACGCAGCGAAAUGCGAUAAGUAGUGUGAAUUGCAGAAUUCAGUGAAUCAUCGUAUCUUUGAACGCACAUUGCGCCCCUUGGUAUUCCAUGGGGCAUGCCUGUUCGAGCGUCAUUUGUACCUUCAAGCUUUGCUUGGUGUUGGGUGUUUGUCUCGCCUUUGCGUGUAGACUCGCCUUAAAAUAAUUGGCAGCCGGCGUAUUGAUUUCGGAGCGCAGUACAUCUCGCGCUUUGCACUCAUAACGACAGCGUCCAAAAGUACAUUUUACACUCUUGACCUCGGAUCAGGUAGGGAUACCCGCUGAACUUAAGCAUAUCAAUAAGCGGAGGA